CGGGAAAUGGCUCAGCUUGGUAGAGCGCUGCGUUCGGGACGCAGAGGUCGCAAGUUCAAAUCUUGUUUUCCCGA
rnacentral:tRNA from 4 species